rnacentral:rRNA from 1 species
UGGGGAAUAUUGGACAAUGGGGGCAACCCUGAUCCAGCCAUGCCGCGUGAGUGAUGAAGGCCUUAGGGUUGUAAAGCUCUUUCGCCGGUGAAGAUAAUGACGGUAACCGGUAAAGAAGCCCCGGCUAACUUCGUGCCAGCAGCCGCGGUAAUACGGAGGGGACUAGCGUUGUUCGGAAUUACUGGGCGUAAAGCGCGCGUAGGCGGGCUGGUCAGUCAGGGGUGAAAUCCCGGGGCUCAACCCCGGAACUGCCCUUGAUACUGCCAGCCUCGAGUUCUGGAGAGGUGAGUGGAAUUCCGAGUGUAGAGGUGAAAUUCGUAGAUAUUCGGAGGAACACCAGUGGCGAAGGCGGCUCACUGGUCAGACACUGACGCUGAGGUGCGAAAGCGUGGGGAGCAAACAGGAUUAGAUACCCGCGUAGUCC